rnacentral:rRNA from 1 species
AUACGGAUGGUGCGAGCGUUGUUCGGAAUUACUGGGCGUAAAGGGCGCGUAGGCGGCGAUGUAAGUCAAAUGUGAAAGUCCUCGGCUUAACCGGGGAAGUGCAUCUGAAACUGCAUUGCUUGAGUAUGGGAGAGGAAAGUGGAAUUCCCGGUGUAGAGGUGAAAUUCGUAGAGAUCGGGAGGAAUACCGGUGGCGAAGGCGACUUUCUGGACCAAUACUGACGCUGAGGCGCGAAAGCGUGGGGAGCGAACGGGAUUAGAAACCCUAGUAGUCC